GUCAGAUCUGAGUUGCAGUUGUGACCUAUGUCACUGAUGCAGCAACCCCAGAUUCUUUAACCCACUGUGCCAGGCUGGGGACUGAACCUUUGUCCUGGUGCUGCAGAAAUAAGGCCACUGAUCCUGUUGCACCACAGUGGGAACUCCUAUUUUGAUUUUUAUAAAAACAAUUAUCAUUCACAAUCUUUGCAUUAGUUAAUACAUUAGAAAAAGAAAGCUACACAUCCAUUUAUUUAAUAUAUCCUGCUUGGAAUGUCAAGUUUCUUUUGCCAAAGCCUGUCUUCAGAGGCAGCUGUGGGCCUCCCUGACUGGGAUAGAAAAAAAGGUGCUCAGGCAGCUUCCUGAGGCUGAGGUUAGAGGUUUGGGAUGGCACCUGGUCCUGUGCAACUACAUGAACGCACAGGUAUUUGAUGCUCAAAUGGCUCAGGGAAAAGAGAGUGAAAAUGAUCCCUUUAUCAAAAUUUGGAAACAUUUUCCUGAAUCAGAAGAACUCUCUAACUAACUCAUCAAUGUAGCUUCAAAAAGUCUGCAACCUUUCAAAAUGAAGGAUGGGGGAACAUACCAAAUGAUACAUUUAGUGAGUUCUCAAACAUCCAUGGCUUUAAAUAUCAAGUAACAGAAGGAACUGCUUAAAGAGAGACAAUAUUUUAGCAAAAAAAUUGGAGAAGUUGCAGGAUCCUCCAGGUGACUGGAAAAAAAGCUAAGAGUCACUGCACAAGAUAUCAGCACUCAUACAUCUUGACAGUGGAAGACGCCUUAAGUAGUAUUUCGUAAUGGGACCCUAGAUCCCAAAAGAUUCCUCAGGUAUAUAUUGAUUCAGAAUCUUUGGGGCCCAAGCUAUCAGCAUUCUUAACAAGCAUUCUGGUGAUUCUGGGAGUUCCUGUCGUGGCGCAGAGGAAAGGAAUCCUAUUAGAACCAUGAGGUUGUGGGUUCAAUCCCUGGCCUCGAUCAGUGGGUUAAGAAUCCGGCGUUGCCGUGAGCUGUAGUGUAGGUCAAAGAUGCAGCUCGGAUCCUGUGUUGCUGUGGCUGUGGCAUAGGCUGGUGGCUACAGCUCUGAUUCGAUUCUACAGUUCCAUAUGCCGCGGGUGUGGCCCUUAAGAAAAAAGCAAAACAAAACAACAAAAAAAGCAUUCUGGUGAUACUUAUGUAUAUAGAUAGUAGAGAAUUAUUGCUGUAAAAAGCAAUAAACUGCACGUUUUUAAGUACUGGGACACUUUCUUUAAAAUAAAAAAUCUAGGAGUUCCCUGGUGAUGCAGCAGGUUAAGGAUCUGGUAUUGUCACUGCUGUGACAUGGGUUUGAUCCCUGGGCCCGGAACUUCCGCAUGCUGAGGGUGCAUCCAAAAUUAAAACAAUUUAAAAAUUGAAACAAAAAAUCUAUGCAUUAAACCCAGGGUAGUGAGGCUAGUCUAACUGGAGUGAGGCUGCCCCCUUUCCAAUCUGAUCCACCACCAGUAGUUUGAGGAAAAAAAAAAAGAAUGUGUGUGUGUGUGUGUGUGUAUAUAUAUACAUGCAUAUGUAUAUAUAUACACAUACACAUAUAUAUGUAUAUAUACACACAUACACAUAUGUAUAUAUAUAUAUACACAUAUAUAUAUAUAUAUAAACUGGGUUACUUUGCUGUACAGCAGAAAUUGACAGAGCAUUGUAAAUCAAUUAUAAUAAAUUUUUUUUUAAAAGAAAUUAGCUUCUUACCUUUGUCUGACAUUGGAAUAAUAUGAGGAGAUUUUUAAAAAGUGCUACCCCUCCCUCCCCUCAGAAAUGCUGAUCUAACUGGCCUGGGGCAUGGUCUCUUUCCAGGUUCAACCUAGUUUGUGGGACUUGGUUUGAGAAUGGGUUCCUGUCCUUUCCACGUAAGUUAUCAGCUACUCCUUUUAACCUCUUUACUUCCUCUUACCUCUGCCUUAUUAUCUGUGGUGAAGGAAUGAAGAAAUACAACUUAUUACAUCAGAAAACUGUCAGAUCAGGAGUUUCCGUUGUGGCUCAGCAGAAAUGAAUCUGACUAGCAUCCAAGAAGACGCAGGUUUGAUCCCUGGCCCCGCUCAGUGGGUUAAGGAUUUAAUGUUGCCAUGAGCUGUGGUGUAGGUAGCAGACUCGGCUCAGAUCUGGUGGCUGUGGUGUAGGCUGGUAGUGGCAGCUCUGAUUUGACUCCUAGCCUGGGAACUUCCAAAUGCCAUGGGUGCAGCCCUAAAAAGACAGAAAAAUAAUAAUAAAGAAGAAAAAUGUCAGAUCAGAUGCCAAAUGGAUGGAUGAAUGGGCUGCAAGUGCAGGUGGAAGAAGAACCAUAUAGUUUUGCAGGUUUUAUUUGCUUCCAGGUAAAGAUGAGUCAAUGACCCCACAGUACAACUUUAAACAGACAGAACCUAUAAUGAAACAGGACCAGAAGGGACUGUGGGUGUGAUGUGUCAAAAAGGAAAAGUUCAGGAAUAAUUUCAUUUCAUUAAUAAAGGUAAUAAUAAUCAACUAAAUACACAAUAAACUUUAAAAUACAUUUCCAUUUUUAAUUUAAAAAAUAAAUAACAGCAAAUCUGAACAAAAUUUUUCUACUUCAAUGCACAUCCUUUCAACUCUUUGUGUUCAAACCCCAACUAGUUCACAAAAUCAAGGCAACUGAGCUUUUGACAUAUUUGGAUGAACAGCUCAGAAAAUGUGACUAAUGGAUGAGUGUGGGCAGUGAAUAAAGGAGACGAGCCUUGGCUGGAUGGUAAGAAUGAGCCUGAAAUUACCUGCUUGAAAGGAAAACUCUCCCCUUUUGUAGUUUAGAACUGAUAGUUCCACUCUCAACCCACUCAAAGAACUUACCUUUUCCAACAUAAUUUAAAAAAUCCUACCCAGUCAUAUAGACCUAAAAGCCUUUAAAGAGAAACUUAGGUUUCUUCUGACUCUCCUUUUCAUUCACUUAGAAUAAAAGAAAGGAUGCUAAAAGGAUGCUAAACAUCACGUCACCUCAAAUAUAUGGUU
rnacentral:lncRNA from 1 species